rnacentral:rRNA from 1 species
GACGAACGCUGGCGGCGUGCUUAGCACAUGCAAGUCGAACGGAAAGGCCCUGCUUGCAGGGUACUCGAGUGGCGAACGGGUGAGUAACACGUGGGUGAUCUGCCCUUCACUUCGGGAUAAGCCUGGGAAACUGGGUCUAAUACCGGAUAGGAGCCAUUUUUAGUGUGAUGGUUGGAAAGUUUUUUCGGUGUAGGAUGAGCUCGCGGCCUAUCAGCUUGUUGGUGGGGUAAUGGCCUACCAAGGCGGCGACGGGUAGCCGGCCUGAGAGGGUGGACGGCCACAUUGGGAAGGAGAUACGGCCCAGACGCCUACGGGAGGCAGAAGUGGGGAAUAUUGCACAAUGGGCGCAAGCCUGAUGCAGAGACGCCGCGUGGGGGAUGACGGCCUUCGGGUUGUAAACUCCUUUCGCUAGGGACGAAGCUUUUUGUGACGGUACCUAGAUAAGAAGCACCGGCUAACUACGUG